GACGAACGCUGGCGGCGUGCCUAAUACAUGCAAGUCGAGCGAGCGGAACCAACAGAUUUACUUCGGUAAUGACGUUGGGAAAGCGAGCGGCGGAUGGGAGAGUAACCCGUGAGGAACCUGCCCCUCAGUCUGGGAUACCAAUUGGAAACAGGUGCUAAUACCGGAUAAGAAAGCAGAUCGCAUGAUCAGCUUUUAAGAGGCGGCGUAAGCUGUCGCUACGUGAUGGCCCUGCGGUGCAUUAGCUAGUUGGUAAGGUAACGGCUUACCAAGGCAACGAGGAGUAGCCGAGUUGAGAGACUGAUCGGCCACAUUGGGACGGGGACACGGCCCAAACGCCUACGGGAGGCAGCAGUAGGGAAUCGUCAACAAUGGACGGGAGUCUGAUGGAGCAACGCCGCGUGAGUGAAGAAGGUUUUCGGAUCGUAAAGCUCUGUUGUUGGUGAAGAAGGAUAGAGGUAGUAACUGGCCUUUAUUUGACGGUAAUCAACCAGAAAGUCACGGCUAACUACGUG
rnacentral:rRNA from 1 species